UAUGUUCCGACGUUCCUCUCUCCAUUUCUAUUCUCCAACCUCUGUAACAAUGGAGAUUAAGUGAAGAAUGAGAGAUUUAGAAUGAUUUUAUCAUCAACAGAUGAUUCUAAGAUUAUAUAGUGCGUGUUUAUGGUUUGGUUGAACUUUAAUGGUCUACUGGUGAAUAUUUUCGAGCUUAAACUAGUAUCUGGUUGUUGAGAACCCUAGUUUUCUUACAAGAGAGCGUCAUAAUCUUCGCAAACAUAAUGAGGAAAUAGAAGUUUUAUGGUUGAAGAAUCUGAUAAAAAUAAGAUGAAUGUAGAACUACAAAUUGGAACCACUUACUCUGGACUGGAGUGGUGAAAUUUUUUUUCUGAUGCAUAUGCUACAGAGCCAACUCCCUUGAAACUUCAAAAGCAAUAGCUCUUAUAUAUAACACAUUUAUGGUUUCAAAGACCUCCAGGUGCAGUAUCAUCUCCCAUGUUAGGUCUAGAGGCAGUCAAUGAUAGCCUGGAUGCCUUUGGUUUCGAAAAUUUCCAUUGCCUAUGUGUUUGUUGUUGCAGUGCAGGUUACAGGGACUAGAUGAAUGUACUAGGUUUACAGUGAAUGGGUUGCUCUCUGAUUCGAAUUGCAGUUAAUGGGUUGCUCUCUGUGCAGGAGGUUGCUGGUGAAAAUGGCCAGAGCACACAUCUGGUGUGACCAUAUUGAGGAGUGUAACAGAAGUUCAGAAGUUCGUUGUUAGCAGGGCGGAGGGGAACGAUGAUGGUAGCAAUGCUGAUGAUGCCAGGAGGUUGGUCGAGAAUAUGAAGACGAGCAUAACAGAAGGGACUCAUAUUUAUGGUGAGCUCGAGGAAGGAAACGAGUAUGGAAAUGUCAUCCACUAUCUAAAACCACCAGCCACCACCAUUGUUUUUCCCUAACCAGUUGCAUCUCCACUAGCAUAAACGUUCACAUCAUCACCGAUUCAGAUGCACAUCAUGAAUAUAGGAGCAACUGGCCGGUUCGCAACCUCGCAGCAUGGGUACAACACUAGGGGCUCAAUUUUGACUACCACAACAAAUCCUCACCAGAUUACAGCAGACUGCAACACUAGGAACGGCUUGGUAGUCAAGCCACAUCAGAAGAUGCCACGUGUCAGAGUUGGCCGUCGUCAGAAGAUGCCACAUGUCAGAGUUGGCCCUUGUCAGAAGAGGCCACAUGUCAGUCUUAGUACACGUUAGCAGCUGCCACAUGUGAUAGGUUAACCAUGGUUAAUAGUAGCUGGAGUUAAAAAAGAGGGUAUUUUGAUCAUAAGUAACACUGUUUUUUUCCCAAGUAGUUAUUUCGGACAGAACAUGACUAUUUUGUAAACCAAUUUCAAAAGUGUGAUCAUUUUGUAACCGAAUUAUAAGAAUUAUAAAAUGUAGGACCAUUUU